AGACCUAACUAGCGCGUCGUUGGCAUUGUUGCCCCGCACGAGAAGAGGAGGGUUCCGUCCGCCGCCGCCGCGCCCGCAUCUGUCCUCUCCGCGGUGCCCGUCCUCGCUCCGCCAUUGCCAAAUCGUACGAGAUCGGCAGGAUCCGCCGCAUCUUGCGCACUGCCGCCGGUGCUUCACCUGUCGCCGGCCUUCUUCCAGUUCCCUUCGUCGCCGAGGACGAGCACGCCAAGUUCCCAUGCCUUUUCCAGCGGUGCUGAUGACGAGUUGUUCCCCAACGGAACAGAUCAAGGCCAUGGGAUCCAGCCGGUGAGAGUCCCUUGACCCCAUCACCUUGCCGAACACAUGGUGGGGGACAGCAUGGACGAGCUGCUCGUCAGCCAUGCGGGGAACACGGAGGAGCUGCUCGUCGGCAUCCAUCGGCAUCCAUCACGUGCACCCAGCCCCCGCCGACGGUGGCCGCCCAUCACCCUCGACGGCGCGCGCCUCCAGCAUCCCGAGAAUCAGCACCCACCUCCUUGGGAGAGCUCCUCCUACCUCCGGAGGAGGCCCUUGAGGCGAGCCCGGCCAUCACGCGCCCAUGGUCAACAACAACCUCCAGGUCGCAUCAUCGUUCCGUCGUUCGGUGGCAUGGGCAUGCUCUCCACUGAUUGAUUUUUGUAUGGAAGAUUUUUCUGAGUGGGGGCAAAGCCCAUGGGUGCUGCGUAGGAGUACAUGUUCAAGACAAUCAACAGCUUCUUUGAUGACUUCCUCACCUAAUGGUCAGAUACAAUUUUGCGACGGUGAAUACAUGUCUAAUAGGGGCCCCACCGCAUGAGGAAUGACACUUUGUGGCUAGCAGUGGCGACGACCACCACUGGACACGAGGGAUCAACAUGCUGACGGCACGAGCUCGUCCUCGGAGUUAACUUCCACUACUUUCACUGAUUUGGACUCACUUCUCUUCAGUCCAAAUAUUUGGACUCUCAGUUAACUUUCUGCUUUUCAGAAGUUUAAUUUAGUUCCACCAUUUGUAAUUCUUCAGCAACAGUUAGUCGUCGGCCGUGAGGCGGUUAGAGAACAUGGUGACUGUAGCAUAAGCUACACAACCGGUCUUUGCGCCGAUCACCUGGCUUGCUACUUGUGCGUUAUUAUGAUCUGAUUUGUAUGCAACUCUGACAUGUGAAAAUAAUGAAGCUGCCAGCUGGUUCUUUGCAAGUUCUAGAGAGCUUUUGUGUUCGUUUUAAUUUUGAUAGAAAUUUGGUUUUCAGUUCUUGGAUGUAUAGCUCAUCUACUGUAGCAGUUAUCUUUUGUUAACUACAACAGUUAACUUCAUUGUUACUGUAGUGAGUUGCUAUUAUAAGUUGAGAAAAAAUAACUGACGCAGUUAGCUGUGAGAUGCAGUUCUCGUUGGAAAUUGAUGGUCCCAUUAGCUUUAGAAAAAACCAGAAAGUUUAAUUUGCAUUUUACAAAACAAUUCAUUUCUGAUGGUCCAGUUAGCUUUAGAAAAAACUGAGGGACGUUGUGCAGUUUGUUUUUCUUUUGCUGAGAAAAUGUAGUAGUUAGAUGAGCACUCCCGCCAUGGUUGUAGGAGGAGAGAAAUGUAGCAGUUAGGAGUUUUUUUGUCUUUGUUGCUGCGGGCCACAAGAGAAAAACUGUGAAAAAUUGUUGUUGCAGUUAACAUGUAAAAAUGUUACAGUUAAUGUGUGAGAAAAAAGUUACUGUGUUACAGAAAAAGGAAAAUAUUUGUUGUACCAGAAGUUAACUAUUCAAUUUAUCAGUAGUUUUUUUUGCAGGGGUAAUUUAGCAGCAAAAUUAGCAUCGUUUUUCUUCAGUCCACUUUUUGUGUGCGUUCAGUCAUGUAUCGUCGUCUCUAUUUGGCAUGAUUUGCAGCGAGUUUCUUUGGUGUCUAUUUUUAUUCCAAUGCCUUGUUCUUUCUGGCAAGACAGUGCUUGUGUUAAUGCCUAUGGUAGAUUAGCAUGUAUUAUGAUUAAGAACUACAAUUGAUCAGCAUAUUGAGUAAGCAAGAUGGUCGGCAAUCAAACUGAGUCCUAGCAUUAAGCUUGAAUCCUGGUCGUUCCUUCUCCCCUUCUCUGUUUUGCUAUAGUCUGAAUAUUCUGAAUUUUUGAUAUUUGCAGGUACCUUCUGAACUGAACUUUGAACACUUGCAUGUAGAUUUUGAACUGAAGUUUGAAGGCAUGCAUGCAACUUUAUUUCAAGCAUCGGGUUGUCUUGGGACCCGACACCGAUGAGGUCGGAGACGAUGGUUCAUGGCGGAGGCCGUCGACAACGGCCAGGACACCAGACAAAACCAGCAUGUCUCCCUCGCGCGAGUGUUGAAUCAGUCGUGUGAAAUUUCUGUGUGACAUUUCUAUGCCCAAUAUGUGCCCGGGCGCUGCCGCUGCUCCAUGGCUGCCACAACGUCAGCUGCCACUAGCCCUCCCGUUUCUGCAUUGUCUCCACCACAGGCGUGGUCGCCCGUGCAGCCACCUCAAGCGUCCUCCAUCGGCCAUGCCUAUGUCCCCUGUGUGACGCGGGAUCCGCCUCAUCGGGCGAGGAAACCGGCACCUUGGCUGCCAUCUCACACAUGUCGGCAUGCACCUGGGUAUGCGGUGAGAACGCUGCAUUUUCCCAACAGGACAUCUUUCUUUAGCAAACUUUAUGUUUUUACAAGGAUAGUUUGCAAGAUGGUGGUACUAUCAUAACGUAUUGUAGUGUCUACUGAUGACAUAGUUUUUUAGUAGCCAUGGUGACAUCAGGUGAUCCUUAUGAGCAGAACUACCGUGACAAGCAUACGGGUCAAUAGAAUCCAGAAAGUUGCAUUUUAUUUGGUUUAUAAGAAAAAUGGAUUCAAUUUCAACGAAAAUCGUUAACUGGACUCCCAUGAUUGCGGUGGUGUAUUAUUCUGUAAAAAGUAGUUUUGUCGCCUUAUGUUUUCAUUCACAUAUGUGGUCAUAUAUGUUGCCUCACAUGGAUACGAGUUAUUAGCCAUGUAGACGUAGUUCUUAUCUUUCUUUUCAUCACACUUUUGGCCUAUUAAUUAGGUUCCGUUGCAUCAUACACACAUCUGGAUAAUGAAUAAAAUGAUGUACCUUUUGGAUUACUUCUUCACCAACAUAUGUUCCACUCUACAUUCGUCUUUUGGAUUACUUCUUCACCAAUUUAUAUGUUCCACUCUACAUUUAUAUCAGGAAAAAUAGUUGUCUAUAGUGACCUUGUAUAUAAUGGUGCAUGGGUGUUUGCAUUUUUCUAUUUUCAACCGGUUGCAACGCACGGGCUUUGCUAGUAAUAAUAAAGCACGGAUUGAGUCUUCGGAUUCACCAUCGCGUCAUUUUUUUGAAAAAAACCCUGUGUUUUACUGUAAUUAACCCGCGCUACAGUUUUAAUGCUAAUAAACAGAGAAAACGUUUCGUGUGUUGGGCUUGGGCCUCGGCUCGGCCUUUAGGGUGAAAAAAAGAAGAAGAGCACGAACGAACCGGUACGGACGAGGGAAAAAACGCACGCCCCGUCUCGACCUCCAACGCGCCGCCGGCCCCCUGCCACGCUGCUGCGCACCGCCGGCCACCGACACGCCGCCGUGCGCCGCUGCAGCCGACCCCCGCCACGCCGCUGCGCGCCGCCACCGCCUCUACGCCGUCCGCCGCCCCCACCCCUGCGGCUUUCCAUCACCGGAGACACACGAUGCCGGCGCCACACCAUCCCCCAACUCCUCCCCCCUCCUCCUCUGCCUCCACCGCUCUUCAGCCGACCAACUCCCUACUGAGGGAGCCAUGGAACUGGUCGGCCAUGCCCUCGAGGUGCUCCCCGUCAUCCCGUUGCCGGCUGCUGCUCCGGGCCCGCCUCCUCUCAGCUGACAUCGCUGGAAAUUGGCGGCACCGCCAGAUCCCCCGUCUGAAAGUCCCCAAGUACCAGGUGCUUGCUCCCAGAUCCGCACUAUAUACCCAAUUUUUGCUUGAUUGUGCAGAUUUGUAAAAAUUUCGAUUUGGAGACGAGUUAGAAUAACCUUGUGAAUUAUUGCUAACCUUGCAAGAGGCAGACAAGGAGGGUAUGAUUGUUGCUGAGCCGAGCUCGUAAACGUCUCACUCAUGUGGUUUUGUGCUAUUCUGAAUCUUCUUCUCUAAAGUGUGUUGUUUCAGUUUCAGACACAAAUGUGUUGCGCUUGCAGUGCAUACCAAUGCAUAGUUUACCGAUGUGCAUGCGUGUUCAUUUGAUUUCACUCCAGUUUACCGAUGUGCAUACGUGUUUAUUUGAUUGCACUUCAGUUUACCAAUUCUUUUUACUAAUCCAAGUUCAACAUAAUGUCUGUAUUGUGCCCUCCAGACCUGAAAAUUCCUACUUUUGGUUAAUAAAUCAUGUUGUUCUCAAGACUCAACUAUGGAUGAUCAGAACAUUAGCAACCUUGAAGUAGCAGUUCUGUUAUGUUCAGAAUUUACUUAAAAUUGAAAUUUGAAAAGAGCAUGAGUUUUGGGCUUUAUUAUUCACCAGGAUCUUUUAGCGUGUGCCUGCAACCAUAGCUUCCAUCGUCAUUACCUUAGGUUUUUCUUUUUUCCAUAUGUUCGGCAAAGAAAAGUCUUCUAGCGUCAUUGCCUUAGUUUCUUUUCCAUAUGUAUGGCAAGUAAAAGUGACAUGCAUUUUAAAUCGUUGGAAGUAAGCUUUGAUGUGUUGUGAUAACAAUUAAUCAUGUACCUUCAUCUGCAUGAAGAGAUAAGAUUUUUCAUGAUUUUGUAUAUCCUUCAGUUUCUUGUUGUAACCUGAAGAAUUCACAAGCAUUCAUAUGUAGAAGUGAGUAGAAUUCAUAUGUAGCAGCGAGUCAUGUUUGUAUGUUUAUACAUUAGAGGUGUUUGUGCAUGAGUCAAUUGGUUGUAGCAGCAGGUAGCAAGUCUUCUCCAGAGUUGACAAAAAAUAUAUUAUUAGUGAUUACUGCAACUCUUUUUUAUUAUUACAAUUGAUUUUCGCAUUAUCUGAUUACUCCAUCAAUGAAUCGCCAUUUAAUCGUAUCUUUACGUAAGGUUAAACUUCUAUUUUUGUUUCCCUCAAGCAUACCAGGUCAAGCAUGGUAGAAAAGUUGAAUGUUUAAUACUUGUUAGAUAAGCUCAGGUUCAGCAGUUUCAGAACAUUUUCGAUAUACAAAUAGUGCUUCAGUUCAAGAAGACGUGUUAGUUUUGAAUUCUCCUUGUGAACACCUCUUUACUUCAGAGCAUCUAAAUAGUGAUGUACCCACUGUAGUUAGGACUUAAGAUGUAUCAGAACUUUUAAAGACAUUUUUUUCUAUAGUUAGGUUAAGAGAUAUAUGAUGGUGAUGCCAGUGGUUGUGCCUGCCUUAUCCAAAAGCCAUAUAUUUUUGCAAAAUAGAUUAUUACUUGAUGAGUUAUUUCGAAUUUGACCUCAAAAGUAAAGUAAUGAUGAAUCAGGAACUUCAUCUAAUCGUCACCCUAAAGAGCAUACUCCUUAUGUUACUAUUUCUUUCCCUAAUGAUGAACCAGGACCUCCAUUUAAUUCUGACCCUAGAUAGCAUGCUCCCUCCGCUACUAUUGUUUAUUUAAUGGCUGGCCAAAUGAGCUGCAGGAGCAAGAAUUGCAGGAUCAAAACAAAAAACCGGGGAAGAAUAUAAUGUCAGUGUGAUUUGUUGCCAACGGCAAUUCUCCAUUGGAGCUCUAUGUACAGCAACAGAAAGUAUGACUUCUUCAUGAAAACAUCUUGAUCCUUAUUUUUUCGUACUACUAUUCUAUAGUAACAAAACACACCAUCAAGUUAGGAUAUCUUGGUCAUUUUUCUGUUCUGUAAAACAAAACAUGUUUAAAGGAUUAUCAAUUGUGGCUGAAAACCUGUACAUCCUUUGCUCCUCUAGAAAAUGGAGUUUAGCCUUACAAAGAAGAAGCAGAAAAGAAACUCGGAAGUCCACCUUAUGCGCCUCUGCCUGUAUGUUUACAACUUCCAAGUGGCCAGAUUUUAUCAGUUGUUGAUAGAUGAAAGACCAACCAAUUUAUGCCUAACAUUUGUGUCUCUACAUUUAUGCACUACCAUUAUAGAGCUCAAGGCAUCAGCUGCAGCACCAAGCAUGCCAAGAAGUUUGCCUAUGGUGAGUGCAUGUUGGGUUAUGUGUUCGUGGCUUUCGCCACGGUCAUUUUGUCCGUCAUCCUGUAGUGUUGAAGGUGUUCUGGAGACACUGGUUGGCGUGGCGUUCACCAGUUAACGGUACACCACACCGUCACCGCCACCGAUGGCAUCACCAAUGUCCGUCGAUCAAGGUUCACGGCAUUGUAACAUUGAAGACAGAGUUGUGUGCUCUGCUUUGUACAUUGGAGUGGCCCAUGACUACAUUGGUCAGAUUGUCCUUCUUUGCAUAUACGUACUUCUCAAGCAGAUACGGCCCAAUCAAGGGCUCCUCUUUGAUGAAAGGAGAAGGAUGAAGAAGUCAAGCUAUUGGAGAGGUCAAUUGAGGAGCUCGAAAGUACUUUAUUUGCUCUCAAAAGUAGCUUUAUUCAGUUUGAGUGAAUUUUGUGGCCUAACUGUUGUAGCUAUUCAUUUUUCCAUGCAUUCUGAAUGUUAGUACACAUCCAUGUUGGUAUAGAACUCGUGCUGUUAUGCCUGCGUUAUCACAACAACUUUCCCAGUUUUUGUGCAUAAACAUACAUAUGUGGACUAAACUCUUUCCCUUAUUUUUUGUUACUUGC